CAGUCAUUGGGAUUAACCCAAUAUUGAUUCCCGGCAUAUCUAGUUUACCUCGGAGUGACGGACUUGCAGGACCAGCCACCGGGACUGAUACUCUUAUGACUCCUGGCAUUCCCCGGAUACCUGAGGAUGAUGGACCUACAGGACCAGCCGUUGUGCCUGAUGCCACUACAGUUUCUGGGACUGAUAGUUUGCCUGAGAG